GUUUCGAGAAAAUUCAAAACCAAAUUUUCAAACAUAUUUAUAAUAAUAUCAAUCGGAAUACAUGUAGCCUGCGAGCGGGCCCCUAGAGAGCCUGCUCGCAGGCUAGAAUACAUGGUGCAACAACAACAAAACGAGGCAAUCGGUAUAGUCUUUACAUAUUUUGCAGCAAUGUACUAACAAUGUCAAUAUCCUAAAAUGCCCAAGAAUGAUUUCAGCAGCGUUUUAAUCUACAAAGCUGAGAGUAGGUGUUCAUCACGAUUGUUAGUCGUAAUUAAAUUUCAGUUGAAGCAGAUAUUUCAUGUUUACUUGCGCGACGUCAUAAACAAUGUAC
rnacentral:lncRNA from 1 species